GACGAACGCUGGCGGCGUGCCUAAUACAUGCAAGUUGAGCGCUGAAGGUUGGUACUUGUACCAACUGGAUGAGCAGCGGACGGGUGAGUAACGCGUGGGGAAUCUGCCUUUGAGCGGGGGACAACAUUUGGAAACGAAUGCUAAUACCGCAUAAUAACUUUAAACACAAGUUUUAAGUUUGAAAGAUGCAAUUGCAUCACUCAAAGAUGAUCCCGCGUUGUAUUAGCUAGUUGGUGAGGUAAAGGCUUACCAAGGCGAUGAUACAUAGCCGACCUGAGAGGGGGAUCGGCCACACUGGAACUGAGACACGGUCCAGACUCCUAAGGGAGGCAGCAGUAGGGAAUCUUCCGCAAUGGGCGAAAGCCUGACGGAGCAACGCCGCGUGAGUGAUGAAGGUCUUCGGAUCGUAAAACUCUGUUAUUAGGGAAGAACAAAUGUGUAAGUAACUAUGCACGUCUUGACGGUACCUAAUCAGAAAGCCACGGCUAACUACGUG
rnacentral:rRNA from 1 species